rnacentral:rRNA from 1 species
UACGGAGGAUGCAAGCGUUAUCCGGAAUGAUUGGGCGUAAAGCGUCCGCAGGUGGCUGUGUAAGUCUGCUGUCAAAGAGCGAAGCUCAACUUCGUAAAGGCAGUGGAAACUACACGGCUAGAGUGCGUUCGGGGCAGAGGGAAUUCCUGGUGUAGCGGUGAAAUGCGUAGAGAUCGGGAAGAACACCGGUGGCGAAGGCGCUCUGCUAGGCCGCAACUGACACUGAGGGACGAAAGCUAGGGGAGCGAAUGGG